AUAGAAAAAAAGCAUUAGAAGAUGUAGUACAACGAUCUGGGCAUGGGACAGAAUUUAAUAAACAGAAGCAUCUUGAAGCUGCUGAUAAGGGACAUUCACCAGCACAAAAGCCUAAAACUAGCAGUGGAACAAAACCAUCAGUUAAACCUACAAGCGCUACAAAGAGUGAUUCAAAUCUAGGAGGACAUUCUAUUCGUUGUAAAUCAAAGAAUCUUGAAGAUGACACUUUGUCAGAAUGUAAACAGGUGUCUGAUAAAGCUGUUUCUCUCCAGCGAAAGCUUCGGAAAGAACAGUCAUUGCAUUAUGGUUCGGUUCUUCUUAUAUCUGAAUUACCAGAGGAUGGUUGUACUGAAGAAGAUGUGAGAAAAUUAUUUCAACCAUUUGGGAAAGUGAAUGAUGUCCUGAUUGUUCCAUAUAGAAAAGAGGCUUACCUAGAAAUGGAAUUUAAAGAGGCAAUUACUGCAAUUAUGAAGUACAUUGAAACAACACCUCUUAUGAUAAAAGGAAAAAGUGUGAAAAUAUGUGUUCCAGGAAAGAAAAAAGCACAGAAAUCUGCAUGUAGGUGGUCCAGUGC
rnacentral:sRNA from 1 species